UACAGAGGUCCCAAGCGUUGUUCGGAUUCACUGGGCGUAAAGGGUGCGUAGGCGGUUGGGUAAGUCUGACGUGAAAUCUCCGAGCCUAACUCGGAAACUGCGUCGGAUACUAUUCAACUCGAGGAAUGGAGGGGAGACUGGAAUUCUCGGUGUAGCAGUGAAAUGCGUAGAUAUCGUGAGGAAGACCAGUGGCGAAGGCGGGUCUCUGGACAGUUCCUGACGCUGAGGCGCGAAGGCCAGGGGAGCAAACGGG
rnacentral:rRNA from 1 species